rnacentral:rRNA from 1 species
GGCCGAUUAGGUAGUUGCUGGGGUAACGUCCCAACAAGCCGAUAAUCGGUACGGGUUGUGAGAGCAAGAGCCCGGAGAUGGAUUCUGAGACACGAAUCCAGGUCCUACGGGGCGCAGCAGGCGCGAAAACUUUACACUGCGCGAAAGCGCGAUAAGGGGACCUCGAGUGCGUGCGCAAAGCGUACGCUUUUCAGAUGCCUAAAAAGCAUCUGGAAUAAGGGCCGGGCAAGACCGGUGCCAGCCGCCGCGGUAACACCGGCGGCUCAAGUGGUGGCCGCUAUUAUUGGGCUUAAAGGGUCCGUAGCCGGACCAGUUAGUCCCUUGGGAAAUCUUACGGCUUAACCGUAAGGCUGCCAAUGGAUACUGCUGGUCUUGGGACCGGGAGAGGCAAGAGGUACCUCAGGGGUAGGAGUGAAAUCCUGUAAUCCUUGAGGGACCGCCAGUGGCGAAGGCGUCUUGCUAGAACGGGUCCGACGGUGAGGGACGAAAGCUAGGGGCACGAACCGGAUUAGAUACCCGGGUAGUCCUAGCCGUAAACGAUGCGAGCUAGGUGUCACGUGGAUUGCGAAUCCAUGUGGUGCCGAAGGGAAACCGUGAAGCUCGCCGCCUGGGAAGUACGGCCGCAAGGCUGAAACUUAAAGGAAUUGGCGGGGGAGCAC